rfam:Vitrella brassicaformis CCMP3155 genome assembly, contig: scaffold380
GCGUCCUUAGUUCAGGGGUAGAACGCGGGUCUCCAAAACCCGAUGACGAGGGUUCAAAUCCUUCAGGGCGUG